UGUGAAAGAAUCCUCAGGGUAACUGGAC
rnacentral:piRNA from 1 species